AUGUUGGUGAUUGAUGCUCGACGUAACUUGUGGAGUUUCACCAUAGGGAUAUUUCGUCGAGUCAAUUGCCAUCGAAGCCCAGUAGAGGCCCAACCCACUCCUUUUUUUUAGAACGUGUGAGUAUAUAUUCAUCGCACAACCGAGCAGAUGGAAACCCUAGCUCUUUCCUCUAACCGUUGCCAGCACUCAUUCUUAUUUCGAAGCCUCUGUGCGUUCCUGUAAUCGCUUCAUAGAUCGGCUGUGACUGUUAAAGUGUGA
rnacentral:lncRNA from 1 species